ACACAUGCAAGUCGAACGAGAGAUGAGGAGCUUGCUCUUCAAAUCGAGUGGCGAACGGGUGAGUAACGCGUGAGGAACCUGCCUCAAAGAGGGGGACAACAGUUGGAAACGACUGCUAAUACCGCAUAAGCCCACAGCUCGGCAUCGAGCAGAGGGAAAAGGAGUAAUCCGCUUUGAGAUGGCCUCGCGUCCGAUUAGCUAGUUGGUGAGGUAAUGGCCCACCAAGGCGACGAUCGGUAGCCGGACUGAGAGGUUGAACGGCCACAUUGGGACUGAGACACGGCCCAGACUCCUAUGGGAGGCAGCAGUGGGGAAUAUUGCACAAUGGGGGAAACCCUGAUGCAGCGACGCCGCGUGGAGGAAGAAGGUCUUCGGAUUGUAAACUCCUGUUGUUGAGGAAGAUAAUGACGGUACUCAACAAGGAAGUGACGGCUAACUACGUGCCAGCAGCCGCGGUAAAACGUAGGUCACAAGCGUUGUCCGGAAUUACUGGGUGUAAAGGGAGCGCAGGCGGGAGAACAAGUUGGAAGUGAAAUCCAUGGGCUCAACCCAUGAACUGCUUUCAAAACUGUUUUUCUUGAGUAGUGCAGAGGUAGGCGGAAUUCCCGGUGUAGCGGUGGAAUGCGUAGAUAUCGGGAGGAACACCAGUGGCGAAGGCGGCCUACUGGGCACCAACUGACGCUGAGGCUCGAAAGUGUGGGUAGCAAACAGGAUUAGAUACCCUGGUAGUCCACACCGUAAACGAUGAUUACUAGGUGUUGGAGGAUUGACCCCUUCAGUGCCGCAGUUAACACAAUAAGUAAUCCACCUGGGGAGUACGACCGCAAGGCUGAAACUCAAAGG
rnacentral:rRNA from 1 species